rnacentral:tRNA from 1 species
AGGUGCGUGGCCGAGGGUCUAAGGCGCUGUUGGUGAGGCACCAGUCAUUUCGAUGGCGUGGGUUCGAAUCCCACCGCUGCCA